rnacentral:rRNA from 1 species
GAUGAACGCUAGCGGCAGGCUUAAUACAUGCAAGUCGUGGGGCAGCGCAGUGUAGCAAUACAUGGGCGGCGACCGGCAAACGGGUGCGGAACACGUACACAACCUUCCUUCAAAUGGGGAAUAGCCCAGGGAAACUUGGAUUAAUACCCCGUAACAUUAUGAAGUGGCAUCACUUUAUAAUUAUAGCUCCGGCGUUUGGAGAUGGGUGUGCGGCUGAUUAGGUAGUUGGCGGGGAACGGCCCACCAAGCCUUCGAUCAGUAACUGGUGUGAGAGCACGACCAGUCACACGGGCACUGAGACACGGGCCCGACUCCUACGGGAGGCAGCAGUAAGGAAUAUUGGGCAAUGGACGCAAGUCUGACCCAGCCAUGCCGCGUGGAGGAUGAAGGUCCUCUGGAUUGUAAACUUCUUUUCUCUGGGGACGAAAACNGGUAUUUCUUACUUGCUUGACAGUACCAGAGGAAUAAGCACCGGCUAACUCCGUGCCAGCCGCCGCCGUAAU